GGAGUUGGUCGGGGAAGACGGAAGCGAUGGUGGUGUUAGCGUUUUGGAGCUCUUUGGAGAUAUGAUCGUACCGCUCGGCCAAAGCACGAUACGAAAGGGUAACGGAGGGCCCCACCCAGCCAUCGGCAGAUAGAGAACAGAGAGAGAGAGAGGGAGGCAUAUCUGUUUUCUUUCUAUUUUAAUAUUCGUAGUAAGGAAUGGUGGAGAGCAACAUUCGGCUUCGGCUCCCCUAACUUUCCUCUGUUUUCUUUUCUUUUCAAUAUUUCAAUCUAAUCCCAUCUGUAAAAACUUUAAAAAGUUAUAUAAAAAAAAAAAAGGAUCUUCAUAUAGGAAUAGUUUGUUGCAUCACACAUUGGCUCGACUCCCCUUGUGAGCCAAAAGCGAUUGCCGACGAACAAUACAAAAGAACACGUAGUUGUUGGAGAAGCAUGCGACGCGAGAUCUAAGCUGUCGGAACACACAGGUUGAAGAAAAUAAAAGUACAUUUAUUUACUCACAUCUACGGAAAAAAAGGAAUUUUCCCAACCAAUUUCUUGAAGCAAAGGGGGGAAAACCCAAUUUUCUUCACCAUUCUGCAAAAAUCCACCGAAAGGAUGCAGGGGAAAUAUCCAAAUCUCCACAUAUUUUUGGCAACCUAUGAUCAAUGAUCAUCUCUUUGCUCGGUCCCCCAUUUCUGAAAACGGUGGAAUCAAUCCACGAGGAGCUUCUUUUGUUCGCCACCCACCCACCAAAAAACAAAAAACA